AUAUGCAGAUAUCAUUCAUCGGCGAUGAAUAAGACCCAUGGCCUAGGUUUGUGAUCUCCAUUACUCUUUGGAGGGUUCCUACCUAAGGUCGAUCCAAGUGGCCGAGCCUUUGUCAUAAUCUGUUAUAGAGGGGGCUUGCGUUCGCGCUGCCCCUAC